rnacentral:rRNA from 1 species
CAGCAGCAGCCGCGGUAAAACAGAGGGUGCGAGCGUUAAUCGGAUUUACUGGGCGUAAAGCGUGCGUAGGCGGCUUCUUAAGUCGGAUGUGAAAUCCCUGAGCUUAACUUAGGAAUUGCAUUCGAUACUGGGAAGCUAGAGUAUGGGAGAGGAUGGUAGAAUUCCAGGUGUAGCGGUGAAAUGCGUAGAGAUCUGGAGGAAUACCGAUGGCGAAGGCAGCCAUCUGGCCUAAUACUGACGCUGAGGUACGAAAGCAUGGGGAGCAAACAGGAUUAGAUACCCCCGUAGUCCCUGUCUCUUAUGC